GACAGAGGGUGCAAACGUUGUUCGGAAUUACUGGGCGUAAAGCGCGUGUAGGCGGCCCUGCAAGUCGGAUGUGAAAUCCCACGGCUCAACCGUGGAAGUGCAUUCGAAACUGCAGGGCUAGAGUCCUGGAGAGGAAGGUGGAAUGCUUGGUGUAGAGGUGAAAUGCGUAGAUAUUGGGAGGAACACCGGUGGCGAAGGCGGCCCCCUGGACCGGAACUGACGCUGAGGCGCGAAAGCGUGGGUAGCAAACGGG
rnacentral:rRNA from 1 species